rnacentral:rRNA from 1 species
AACGAACGCUGGCGGCAUGCCUAACACAUGCAAGUCGAACGAUCCCUUCGGGGAUAGUGGCGCACGGGUGCGUAACGCGUGGGAACCUGCCCUUAGGUUCGGAAUAACUCCCCGAAAGGGGUGCUAAUACCGGAUAAUGUCUUCGGACCAAAGAUCUAUCGCCUUUGGAUGGGCCCGCGUUGGAUUAGCUUGUUGGUGGGGUAAAGGCCUACCAAGGCGACGAUCCAUAGCUGGUCUUAGAGGAUGAUCAGCCACACUGGGACUGAGACACGGCCCAGACUCCUACGGGAGGCAGCAGUGGGGAAUAUUGGACAAUGGGCGAAAGCCUGAUCCAGCAAUGCCGCGUGAGUGAUGAAGGCCCUAGGGUUGUAAAGCUCUUUUACCAGGGAUGAUAAUGACAGUACCUGGAGAAUAAGCUCCGGCUAACUCCGUGCCAGCAGCCGCGGUAAUACGGAGGGAGCUAGCGUUGUUCGGAUAUACUGGGCGUAAAGCGCACGUAG